GAGCAUUCUGGUGACAUCAGCAUUUCCCUCACUAAAUAUGCUGCAGAGCCCUAUCUACCUUCUCAACAUUAACACCCAGCAACCAGGAGAGGAGAGAGGCCUGGGGAAGACAGCCACCACCAAGUACACAAAGGUUGAAAGAGGACGUUUGUGGGAAGUAGACAUUUGUGAAUGUGGAUUUAGAAGAUUUUUCCCUGUGAUGAGCUGAGUCAUGGGUGAGAGCUGGAGAAAACAGAGUCUUCUCAAUGCGAAGAUGAUGAGAAUGGAGACUUUUAUGAUGAUCCACUUCCACUUAAUGAAUAGAGUUCCUGGUUGUUACACUUAAAUUGAUCCAAGAGAGGGUAUUUCUUUUUCUGGAGGCCAAUUGAAUGGUGAAAUGGAG
rnacentral:lncRNA from 10 species